ensembl:lncRNA
GAAGAGUCUGAGCCCUGCACCCAAGAAACUCUGUUUGAUGCAAGUAUGAGCUGUUUUGGGCUGUGUAGGCAUUUGGUUUAACAUUUCAUUGAUCUGUUCCUGGGACCACCUUAGUCCCUGUGUUUCAGGGAGGUGAUGGAUUAAGUGCAGACCAGAGCCAGGGCUCAAAUAUACAUUGCAAAUCCAGGCAUCUCAACCCAGCCAGCCUACAGACUUAGCUGUGUAGAUUGAGAGGGGAAAUGACUGCUGAGCUGUUACAUUCCUUAUCUCUGACUGAUCAAAGCGGAAAUGGACAGAGGAAAUUUCUCCUUCUUGCUUUGCCGUGCAAUUCACCCCAGAGCAACAGAUUGCAGCUGAGGGUGUCACACCAGGAUCUUUCAGAGCUGGGAAACUGGUUUCCAAGGGCACAGCCCUGCUGCCUCGGAGUCCUUGCACAUGUAUAUUUUUAGCCCAUCAAGGUUUUCAGGAGGAUGGUGGGAAAUGAGAUCACCAGGGCAGCCAGGGCUAUUGCUGCCUCCCACCAGUGCCAAGUUGUCCCGACUGCAGCCCAAGCAGUGGCCUCUAAACCAGACCCUGGUGGCCAGAAUUGCCCUCCCCAGCCCAGGGGCUUCUCCCUCUGUGCCCAUGCUGACUCCUGAGCCGGCUGAGUCGCCAGGCUGGCGCCCAGCAUUGCUUGGGGCUGCAGAGGUGGGAUGGAGAGCAGCCCUCGGCCUGGGCAGCGUGUCCCUGCUGCCAAGGAAAGCCACAGCACAGCCCCUGCUCCCUUUAAUCAUAGCAAUGAUGAAAUCAGCCUCGCCUCUGCAGGGAGCAGCAGCUGAGCAGGUUCCCAUUGAACUGGAAGGUAUCACUGGUGUGAAGAGGACACCACCACAGGAAAUUCCAUGUUUUCUUCAAUCUGCUUCUCAAGAAUGUGGGAAACACUGCUGUCCUUUUCUUUUCCUUCUAGUUUUAACUUCUACCCAAAAGAGAAGCCAAAAUGACUGAUGGUUAUAAAGAAGAGGGUGUGGAUGACACUGACCCCAUGCAGCUCCUGACUCUGCCUGAAAAAGAGAAACCUGAGGCCAUGAACAAGCCCUGGAAUAGAUUUUUCCUUCUGGGUGAAGAGAAAAGGUUUCCUUGUUAAAAGCAAAUGGCAAAACACCGGAAUAUUUCAGUUCUCUGCCUUCCUUUGCCCUCUCUACAAAUUAAUUCCCUGCACUUUUUUUUUUGCCCAUUCAUAAAACAGGGGGGAAUCUUGAUCUGUGGCUGCAAUGAAUCCACAUUUACACAGAGCUGUGGGGGCUCCCAGGUGGUCUGGAAACAGGAAUAAAUAGCUGUGGGAGGAAUAAUCACAGUGUUUGCAGAGAGAUUCCUGAGAGAACAGUGCUAUAGAGCAGCCUUGGGGAGCCUCAGCCAGGUGGGAUUUCCCAGCACUUUAUUUCCUGCCACCUGCACAACCAAAGCAUAGUAAAAAGUGUUUUAUCUGGGUAAAAUAUUGUGAAGAGCAGGUUAUUCAAAUAAGAAAGGAGACAUAAGCAUCAAUAAUCAGGGAGGAAGACCCAGUCUUUUUUGUCAUGAUAGCAAUGAGGAAAGUUGUUUGGCAACAACUAGAGAGAAUUCCACCAUACUGAUGGCACCUCUCCUCUCCUCUCCUCUCCUCUCCUCUCCUCUCCUCUCCUCUCCUCUCCUCUCC